rnacentral:misc_RNA from 1 species
GUGAAUCAUCGAAUUUUUGAACGCAAAUUGCACUCUCUGGUAUUCCGGAGAGUAUGCCUGUUUGAGGGUCAGUUAAAUAAAAAUCGGCGUUAUGUUGCCGCUUUGCGUAGUGACGCAGCGGGUAUGGGCCGUCUUACCUUCGGUUAAGUGACCUAAAUUUUUGCAUCAGUUGCUAAAGGAUUUAAGUAAUUUACGUACGUUUGUAAUGUCGGAUAGUAGGUGUGGUCAUUCUCAUGA